rnacentral:rRNA from 1 species
CGCACCCUUGUCCCUAGUUGCCAGCACUUCGGGUGGGAACUCUAGGGAGACUGCCGGUGAUAAACCGGAGGAAGGUGGGGAUGACGUCAAGUCAUCAUGGCCCUUAUGGGCAGGGCUACACACGUGCUACAAUGGCCGGUACAGAGGGCGGCGAAGCCGCGAGGUGGAGCGAAUCUCAGAAAACCGGUCGUAGUCCGGAUUGCAGUCUGCAACUCGACUGCAUGAAGUCGGAAUCGCUAGUAAUCGCGGAUCAGAACGCCGCGGUGAAUACGUUCCCGGGCCUUGUACACACCGCCCGUCACACCAUGGGAGUGGGCUGUACCAGAAGUAGGUAGUCUAACCUUCGGGAGGACGCUUACCACGGUGUGGUUCAUGACUGGGGUGAAGUCGUAACAAGGUAGCCCUAGGGGAACCUGGGGCUGGAUCA